UACAGAGGUCUCAAGCGUUGUUCGGAUUCAUUGGGCGUAAAGGGUGUGUAGGUGGCGCCGUAAGUCGGGUGUGAAAUCUCGGGGCUUAACUCCGAAACUGCAUUCGAUACUGCGGUGCUUGAGGACUGGAGAGGAGACUGGAAUUUACGGUGUAGCGGUGAAAUGCGUAGAUAUCGUAAGGAAGACCAGUGGCGAAGGCGGGUCUCCUGGACAGUUCCUGACGCUGAGGCACGAAGGCCAGGGGAGCAAACGGG
rnacentral:rRNA from 1 species